rnacentral:misc_RNA from 1 species
GUAUUCAAAUAUACGAAAGAUUCUUUAAAAUCAGCCUGCCUCAUACAAUUUGCUGCGAGAGCAAUAAUACAAAACAAGCAAGCGAAUUCGCUGAAAUAGCGCAAAAAGAGACGCACUCAUUUAUAUCUACAUGCAUAUAUCGUCUGCCGCCAGAUUCAAUUCGCUUUGAAUAUGAAAUAUGAAAUGAAAUCAAUUUGACUUGUAAUAUGCACAUGCGUGACCAGAAAUAACAUACACACACACAGAGAUACACACACAAACACACACACAUAGACACACACACACAGACACACACACACGCACACACUCAAUCAUAGUGAAUAACUUGAAAGUUUUGUGACGUCAAAAUUGAAAUUAAAAUUUAUAAACGUAAUCGACAACUGCCGAAAAUAUUUACAAAACAAGACAAACUGAGUGCAUAAAUAAUAUCUUUAUAUGUACAUACAUAUAUACAUAUACAUACAUACAUACGUAUCUGAACUAAAUCAAGACCAGAGAAGUGAACAAUCAAAAUAAUAAACAAAAAGCGUUAAGAAUACACACACAUACAUAUUUAUGUGUGUAUAUGACAGAGUUUAACGACAUUC